CAUGGCACUGCCAGCAAACCCUGUGGUGCUGCCUGGCAGAGAGCUGUCAUGGUUUGCUCACACGCAAGGAUGUGGUACAUCUGUGCUGCCAGAAACAUUCUCCUGUGGCAUGUGCUCUGUCUCCCCUAGGGCUCUGUACGGUGGGUAACUCUUAAUGGGAAUGGGCACCAGACCUCACCUGGGGGCACUCUGAUGCUGGUUGGUGUCAGUAUGGGCCAUCAGUUUGCUCUCUGAUCUGCAGACAACUGCAGAGCAGAUACCACAGCUCGAGGCACCCCUGUUUCCCCCAUCAUGUACUCUGAUUUUCAGCAAAACCCAGGGUUUUCUGCUGAUUGUUAUCCUUGCCACAUCACAAUAAUACUGACAACAGAGCUGGCAUUCUGGUAUCUUUUUAGUCAUCUUCCCCCACAUCUUAUUAUUCUGGAAGUCCUGCUGUAACAACUGCAUCUGCUCCUCUGCAAUAUUGCCUCCCUGGACAGCUGUUCCCUAUUGUGUGUCCCAGCGCUUGCCUUCCCUAUGUAAGUGUGGUGCUGGGCCCUGGGUUUAUUGAAUUGUACCUAAUUAAUUCUGAAUAUUUUUUCCAGUUUAUCAAGAUCAUUUUAAAUUGUAAUCUGCCCUUCAAAAUCUUUGCAAGCCCUGCCAGCUUGGUGUCAGCAGUACAUUUUAUAAGCUGUUCUAACACCCAAGUAACAGAAAAGAAUCUAGCCUACGAAAAACCACAUUCAGCAGCCUCAUGAAUGGGGAAGCAGCUUCUGUGCACAGCCACCAAGUCCCCCAAGACGCCUCUCCCGCAGCAUCUGCUGAGCUCCAGGAACAAAGAAUCAGCUGUGCCCAAGCCACAGGAGAGGGGAGCCAAAUGUCAGUGACCUGGAGAAAUCUGUGAUUAAACCAGCUCAGACAUUUUAUCUCCUGUUCCAUUUGAACCAAAAAUAAAACAAAUUUGCUUUCUGAGCUGGAAGGUUAC
rnacentral:lncRNA from 1 species